rnacentral:rRNA from 1 species
CUACGGGUUGCUCCAGUGGGGAAUAUUGCGCAAUGGGGGAAACCCUGACGCAGCGACGCCGUGUGAAGGAUGAAGGUCUUAGGAUUGUAAACUUCUGUCGAGAGGAAAGAAUAAAUUGACGGUACCUCUUAAGAAAGCACCGGCUAACUCCGUGCCAGCAGCCGCAGGUAAUACGGAGGGUGCAAGCGUUAUUCGGAAUUACUAGAUGUAAAGGGCGUGUAGGUGGUUUAGUAAGUUAGAUGUGAAAUCUCGUAGCUCAACUACGAGCCUGCAUCUAAAACUACUAAUCUUGAGUAUGAGAGGGGAAAAUGGAAUUUCUAGUGUAGCGGUGGAAUGCGUAGAUACUAGAAGGAACACCGAUGGCGAAAGCGGUUUUCUGGCUCAAUACUGACACUAAGGCGCGAAAGCUAGGGGAGCAAACAGGAUUAGAUACCCUAGUAGUC